rnacentral:piRNA from 1 species
GUCAUCUUUGCUUGCUGCUUACAACUCCCC